CCUUCGAUAGCUCAGUUGGUAGAGCGAGGAUUUGACUGAAGUUCAAACGUUAGAUAAAAUGCUGGUUCAAAUCCGGCUCGAGUUA